CCUACGGGCGGCAGCAGUGAGGAAUAUUGGUCAAUGGACGAGAGUCUGAACCAGCCAAGUAGCGUGAAGGAUGACUGCCCUAUGGGUUGUAAACUUCUUUUAUAUGGGAAUAAAAUGUUCCACGUGUGGGAUUUUGUAUGUACCAUAUGAAUAAGGAUCGGCUAACUCCGUGCCAGCAGCCGCGGUAAUACGGAGGAUCCGAGCGUUAUCCGGAUUUAUUGGGUUUAAAGGGAGCGUAGGUGGAUUGUUAAGUCAGUUGUGAAAGUUUGCGGUUCAACCGUAAAAUUGCAGUUGAAACUGGCAGUCUUGAGUACAGUAGAGGUGGGCGGAAUUCGUGGUGUAGCGGUGAAAUGCUUAGAUAUCACGAAGAACUCCGAUUGCGAAGGCAGUUCACUGGACUGCAACUGACACUGAGGCUCGAAAGUGUGGGUAUCAAACAGGAUUAGAUACCCCAGUAGUC
rnacentral:rRNA from 1 species